rnacentral:rRNA from 1 species
UACAGAGGCCCCAAGCAUUAUCCGGAAUCACUGGGCGUAAAGGGUGUGUAGGCGGUCAUAUUAGUCUUUCGUGAAAGACUUCGGGCUUAACCCGGAGGGCGCGGGAGAAACGGUAUGACUAUAGAGGACGCGAGAGGUAUAUGGAACUCAUGGUGUAGGGGUGAAAUCCGUUGAUAUCAUGGGGAACACCAAAUGCGAAGGCAAUAUACUGGCGCGCUCCUGACGCUGAAACACGAAAGCGUGGGAAUCGAACGGG